rnacentral:pre_miRNA from 1 species
GUUGCGGGGAAUGCUGUCUGGUUCGAGACCGUUCACGUCGUCUCAUUGGGUGGACAUCCGACCCGAUUGUUCUUGAUGAACGAUUUCGGACCAGGCUUCAUUCCCCCCAAC